GCUGGCUGCUUGCUGCUUGCUGGUGGCUGCUUCUGUUAUCAUUCAAUUGCCGCCAUCCCUGCGAUUGCAAUUUUGAAUGCCACCUUCGCCCACCCUGCAAUUUUGAAUGCCAAGUGCAUGGCAGUGGAGGUGAGGUGAGAGCGUGCCAUGUGGCCACGUCAUCGUUUGGCGAUGGGGAACGCUGGUAGGCAUCGGCUUCUCACAGCACGCUGGCAGUCUAAUCAGAGUACUGAUGCUCCAUAAUCUGAUCGCUAGCAAUAGUUGUAGCAAAGAUAAUUCAAUCAAAAUGGCAGGAAUUGAUUAACUUGAUAUUCAUGGCCAAGCUGAAACUAAAAUUAAUCUCGUCUAGACACUAUUAAGAUCUCUAUUCAUGCCCUGAAUAGUUAUCCUAACAAUAACUAAUCCAAAGGCUUAUUGGAAGGAUAUUUAUGCUUGAUAUUUAUAUUUUUAUUUGAAACUUUGUUUCAUUUCUUGCAGGCGCUCAUAGUAUGUAUUUCUAUUCCAAUUGGAUUGCUCCAAGCUUCGUUUUGGACCAUCCAUUGCUUGGACUGGAAUGGACUCUAUGCCAUUCGUGUGCAUCUUUACCGGAUUUUGCCAUGGGUUUAAUUGGGCGAGUGCAAUCCCCCCCUCCCACUUUGAGAAA